rnacentral:rRNA from 1 species
GUUGAACGCUGGCGGCAGGCCUAACACAUGCAAGUCGAGCGAGCGGCGGACGCGUGAGUAAUGUAUGGGGACUGCCCGAUAGAGGGGGAUAACUACUGGAAACGGUGGCUAAUACCGCAUACUAUCGGAUAACCCAUAUGGGAUUGGCUAGUAGGUGGGGGAAAGGCUCACCUAGGCGAUGAUCGCUAGCGGGUCUGAGAGGAAGAUCAGCAACACUGGGACUGAGACCCGGCCCAGACUCCUACGGAGGCAGCGGUGGGGAAGAUUCGACAAUGGGCGCAAGCCUGAUGCAGCAAUGCGGCUUGUAUGAAGAAGGCCUUAGGGUUGUAAAGUACUUUCAGCGGGGAGGCGUUACCCGCAGAAGAAGCACCGGCUAACUCCGUGCCAGCAGCCGCGGUAAUAC